rnacentral:rRNA from 1 species
GAUGAGAAAAACGUUGUACACACCGCCCGUCGCUACUACCGAUUGAAUGGCUCAGUGAGGCCUUGGGACUGGCUCAGAGAGGUUGGCAACGACCACUCAGAGCCGGAAACUCGAUCAAACUUGGUCAUUUAGAGG